UACGUAGGGUGCAAGCGUUGUCCGGAAUUAUUGGGCGUAAAGAGAACGUAGGCGGUUUGUUAAGUCUGCUCUUAAAGACCAGGGCUCAACCCUGGGAAUGGAGUGGAAACUGGCGGACUCGAGGACGUCAGAGGAAGGUGGAAUUCCCAGUGUAGCGGUGAAAUGCGUAGAUAUUGGGAGGAACACCAGUGGCGAAAGCGACCUUCUGGGACGAUCCUGACGCUGAGGUUCGAAAGCUCGGGGAGCAAACAGG
rnacentral:rRNA from 1 species